rnacentral:lncRNA from 10 species
GUUUACUCGCUGUUAAGUAUUUAGGUAGUUUUCAAUAUUUUUCUUUCUUUUUUUUUUUUUUUUAAAAGAAAAAAAGAAAAAAGAAAAUUUCUCCUAACAUAGAAACGUUAAUCAAAAGACAAUGGGCAGUCGUGACUAUAGUCAGAUGCCUACAACAAGGACAAAGCAUAGACUCCUAGAAAACCCAGCAUCAUAGGGGCCAACAGGGGAAGAGGAUCCAGAGAAGAGUACAGAGAAGGCAAGGUAGCAGUAUAGAUGGAAAGAAAAUCCAAAAAGAAAAAAAAAUCAGAAAGAGGAUUAAAUAAUUUUAAGGAGGGAGUUAUCAAGAGUGUUAGUAUUAUACAUAGGUCAAUCAAAUAAAGGCUGAGAAUUAUCCAUUGGUGUUAGCCAUUAGGAGGUCAUUCAUAUCUUUAGUAUGACUAAUUUCAGUGGGCUAAAAUGGAAAUGGGAGAUGAUGACAUGAAAACAUACGGUAUCUGAAGACCUGGGGAUCUAAUCUCAACAUGUAGGUGUUGUAAUAAACAUCAUCAUUUUCAAUCCUUGUAAAGCCUUAUGAGGAAGGGACUAUUAUUACCCCCAUUUUACAGAUGACCUAACAGACUUUGAGAUGAAAGGUCACAUAGGGGCAACUCUGGGUUUCACAACCAGACUUGUCUGACAUCAGAGUUAGAAAGAACUCAACCACUAGAUCACACUGCCAAUGCUUUAUAAUAGCUGUGGGUUUUAGGACAAUCCCCAGAAUUAGAGAUUCUCAGAAUGGGAAGGGAUUUGAACUGGGUUCCUUUUGGUUCUGAUUCAGUGGUUUUCUUAGAUCUGCAAAGCCAGAAUAUGUCUCUACCCUUGUCUGCUCAUUAUAUUAUGUUUAUUCCUCUUUUAUAUUUGGUUUUGAAUCCAUUUCUUCCUCUCUGAUUUCUUUUUAUUUUUCUUUUUUAAUAGAGGUAGGGUCUCACUAUGUUGCCUAGGCUGGUCUUGAACUCCUGGGCUCAAGCGAUCCUUCCACCUUGGCCUUUCAAAGUACUGAGAUUACAGGUGUGAUCCACUGUGCGCAGCCUUUUUUCUUUUUUCUCUGAGGAAUCACCAAUUAUCUCAACCUUGGUCCAUUUGCUUUUAUAAAUGCUAACCUCAGCUCUGUCUCCAGGGUUGGUCAAGUCACUCAGACUUGUCCAGUUAGAACAUGACAUUCCUUUGGCCACUGUGAUAAGUUCAGUGUAUCAAUCAAAUUCAGGCCACUGUAAGUCCUAUCCAAGACUUACAUCAUACUAUUGGGGAAGAGAAGUUCUAUUUUCUGUCAUAAUUAAAUCAGGGAAUACAUAGAGCUAGAGCUGUAGGAACCACCACAUAGAGUGAGGGCUACACUUUGGAGAGCAGAUGCAGAAGGUGAAGAGAUUUGGGGUCCCAAUGACAUUACUUGAGCCUUUUGAUCAACCCCCAUUUGAAGCCAGACUUCUCUCUUCCUCCCUUCCUCCCUCCCUCCCUCUCUCCCUCC